rnacentral:tRNA from 1 species
GCCCAGGUGGCUCAGUGGUAAAGCAUCUAUCUGCCAAGCAGGAGACUCAGGUUUGAUCUCUGAGUUGGGAA